AGUGAACGCUGGCGGCGUGCCUAAUACAUGCAAGUCGAACGAAGUGGCGCACGGGUGAGUAAUAUAUAGUUAAUCUGCCCUACACAGAGGAACAACAGUUGGAAACGACUGCUAAUACUUCAUAGUGUAGGAUGAGACUAUAUCGUAUCAGCUAGUUGGUAAGGUAAUGGCUUCACAAGGCUAUGACGCGUAACUGGUCUGAGAGGAUGAUCAGUCACAUUGGAACGGAGGCACGGUCCAAACUCCUUCCGGAGGCGGCAGUAGGGUAUAUGGCGCAAUGGGGGAAACCCUGACGCAGCAACGCCGCGUGGAGGAUGACACUUGUCGGAGCGUAAACUCCGUUUAUCAGGAAAGCGGUACCUGAUGAAUAAGCACCGGCUAACUCCGUGCCAGCAGCCGCGGUAAUUC
rnacentral:rRNA from 1 species